rnacentral:rRNA from 1 species
UGCCUUUAGAUAAAUUCAAGGUAACGCCUGCCCAAUGCUUAAGUAGUGAAUGGCCGCAGUAUUUUGACUGUGCUAAGGUAGCAUAAUCAUUAGUCUCUUAAUUAGAGGCUGGUAUGAAUGGUGAGACGAGAAAAAAGCUGUCUCUGAAUGAAUUUUUGAAUUUCAUUUCUGGGUGAAAAAGCUCAGAUAAUUUUAAGGGACGAUCAGACCCUAUGGAGCUUUUUUGUUGGGGCGACAAAGAGUUAAGUUUUAACACUCUUUUUAAUUAACAUAAUUAAAUGGAAAAUUGAUCCUAGUAGAUAGAUUAUAAGACUAAGUUACCCUAGGGAUAACAGCGUAAUUCUUUUAGAGAGUUCAAAUCGAUAAAAGAGUUUGCGACCUCGAUGUUGGAUUAAGAGAAUCAGCAAGGUGCAGCAGUUUUGUUGGAAAGUCUGUUCGACUUUUAAAUUCUUACA